CUCCCUUCUCUCUCAUUCCGCCGCUCUCCCUUUCUCUCUUCUCUCUCACUCUCCCGACCUUCUCUCUCUCUCCCUCACUCGGAUCCCUCUCGCCCUCACCGAUCGCUCCCCCUCUCCCCCUCACCGAUCGCUCCCCCUCUCCCCCUCACCGAUCGCUCUUUUCCAUCUCCCUCUCACUGUCACCUCAUCCUCUCCCUCUCACCGAAACCGCGCGAUUCACAGUCGCCCAAAACACUCCACCGGUGAGACCAAGACUUGAGCUGCAUCACCAUCAUCUCUCCUCACCCCUAGUGCCUCCGGUGACACAAUCGGCUAUUGGAAACCGCGACAAGCACCGCCGCUUCUCAACUGCAAGGCCGCCGGCACCUCAAGCUCAUCAACGUCGAUUUGACAAUCCAAAGGUUCGAAUCAAGGUGAUCGCUAAAUCGAGGAAAGGGAUUAUUAUCGGAAAUUGAGGAAUUACGCUCAAGUCAAUAAGGGGAUAAUUCUGCAGGUGCUGAUUAGUGGUGGUUGAGUGACGACUACAGAGGCUCGAAGUCGUUCGGAUCCUACUUGUGGUGAGAUUUUAGCAUGGAUUCGUGUGUGAGGAUUUGUGUAUUUUCAUUUGUGAGAUUUGUGAGUGAUUUGUGAGAAUUAUUACAUUUCCAUUUUGUGUAUGGAUUAUAAUUUGGGUUGUAAUAAUUGGUUGUCUGAGUUGUAUUGAGAACUCAGAAAUGAUCCGCUGCGACAUUAAAAUGAUUUCGGUUUAUUUGAGAUUAUUUUUGUGUUUAACGAUUCUAAGAUUUUGAGUUUUGAAGCUCGA